CGAGGGGCGGGCCCAUGGGCGGGGCCGUUUUUGUACAAAGCUGUAACAUUGUGGGGACAGCAGGCCACGGUGAUUCAACUUUAUGGACAACCUUUACAAAAACCUUUCUGCCUGUCCCAACGCCUGCCGUCCCUCCACUUUUCUCCCAGGUCCCAGGCCCAGGCGUGGUUUGAAUCAGAAUGCCUCUGCCUCACCCCUGUCUCCCUGUCAAGCCAAGACCAUGAGUAAGGAUAGGCCUGGCUCAAAACUGAAGCUUCCAGGCAGACAGCCCAGACCAGAUGCAAGAAGAAUGCCUCAGUGGCCUCAUGGGUGAAGGACUCAGGGACAUCCUUUCAUCCCAAUCCCCAUGGAACCUGGAACAAGGUCAGUGGGAAGGUCCAUGGAGAUGACCCGUUCUAUAAAGGAAGAAGCCAGAGAUAUCCUGGCUUUCCAUGGAUGCGGUAAUGAGAUCUGGGACGCUGCCCUCCUCUCCAGGCCCACAUCCCUUUGAUGGACCCCCGGAGAGAAUUGAGGGCCUCUGGAUGGCCUCUGGUCACACUCCAUGGCCCCAAAAGUCAAAAGUCAAAAAUGUUGUUUUGCACUAUAUCUAUAAAGCACAGGAGGGGAAUUUUUAUCCCAGAGUCCUCCAGACCCCAGCCAGGGCCCCUCUUCUCUCCAUGCCUCAAAUUCAUUUUUCUCCUUGCCCCAUGUCACUGUGUGAACACUGAAGUCUUCUUCGGAGAAGGCACGAGGCUCACGGUUGUAGGAAUGAGUUCAGAGGAGGGUCCCUGUAGGGGCAAAUUCAUCCAGCCCCUCAAGGGCCUCCAUCAACUCAGAGCUGAGCCUCGGUGGUUAGGGCAGAGAAGGGAAAGGAGGUGGUGCUGCCCCGCUGAGGAGUUACCUGAGAUAGGGGAGCGGAGAGAAAGCCUGGAAGGUAAUUAGCGAGUCCUGACAUCGGUCCAUCUCCCCUCACUGAUGGAGGUUCUCUGCAGGGGCUUCAUAUUUUUCCUUGCUCUGGAUUUCAUAGGAGGCCACACUGUUCUCCUUUUUUUCCAGCUGUCAGGGGCCCUGGGAAAGCUCUGAAAGGGUACGGGGAGUUUUAGAAGCAGGGCUGGUGGCUCUGUGAGGGAAGAGAUCCAUGAACGGCCCAUCCUCUCCCUGAAUGCCAGCUGGGCUCAGCAAACAAGGGGAGGUUUUGAAGGGGAUCUGGGAGGCUGUGCUUUGGAAACACCGUUGAUUUUGGGGAGGGAAGCCGGCUCACUGUUGUAGGUAAGCCAGUCAGGGCUGGAGGGCUGGGAAUCUACAGGCAGGAGCAGGGAUCCAGAUGGAGCCACUGUCUUGGGUGUUUGGGUUAAAGCAUGUUUUCACCAGAAAUACCUGAAUUCCUGUCUUGAUGUAGACAGGAGGGGACAGACUCGAUCUCCAAUAUUUCAUGCUCUAGCUAGCUGUGCCAAGUUUGGUUUCCCCUACUAGGAGGCAAGUAAUCUCAGCUGGGAAGGGGUCAUCUUGUCCAUCUCCCAUCUCCUUGGAGGGUUCCCCAUUAAGGCCAUGACAGAUGGGAGAGCCUCCGGCCUUAGAGCUGUCAUAGUCCUGCAAUUUCCUCCCUCACGCAGAAAGGAGAGGGACACAGGAGAAGGAGGAGGGGUCCCACGGGGCCGAAUCAGUCCUCUGACCACAACAUUUCAGGGUGCACAGUUGUCCUCUCUCCACCUCCCAGGGUUAAGAUUCUGCUAAGGAAAGGGAGAAGAGAGCUGGCAGACAGGCUUGGGGAGAAGGAAUGGGAGGCACCAGGGGCAGUUUUCUACCAGGCUUUACUGUUGUGUAACUAAUGAAAAACUAUUUUUCGGCAAUGGAACCAAGCUCUCUGUCUUGGGUAAGUAAAAGUCUUUCCUGGGGGUAGUGUCUUGUAAGGCUGGAGUUCCAGAAGGACUCCUUAGAGAGGGCAGGGACAGAGAAUUCAGCAGGGAAAAGGUUCAGAGGGUGUGUGUGCGCGGAGUGCGUGCUGGAGCCCCUAGGAGUUCUGGGUGGAAGCUUCUGGACGGAAUGGUCGCCCACCAGCAACUAUGGGGUUUUCCACACUCAUGUUGUACUGUGGAGCAACCAGCCACAGCACUUUGGAGAGGGAACUCGACUCUCUGUCCUAGGUAAGGCGCAGGACCAGGGUAGCAGGGUCAUUGUCCCUUGGAUGCGGACUCUAGCUUCUCCUCUCAGCCCUGGUGAAAGGGCAGUUAACUUCUCAUUCCUGUGCGGCUUCCAAGAAACUGUGUUUGCCAUGGCUUGGGGUUGAUUUCUCUAUGUCUCCAGUCCCUAAUCAGCUUCCUUACUCUGUGCUUAGUCCACCCUCCUGCCUUACAUGUGGGGAUCUGCCCUCCUGAGCCUCUUCCACUCCGUCUCUCCCAGUAGAAUGCUUAAGCUUCUCUCCUUAUGGAUCUCUUUGGUCCCAAGUCCCAAAUCCAGGCAGGGACAGGUGGCCAUCCCUACUCCCAGGGAGCUAAGACUUGCCCUCUGGCUGGAGACCUCCGGCAGGUUUUAGCACAGCUGUCUGCAGCUGUGUUCCUAUAAUUCGCCGCUCUACUUUGGGCCCGGCACCAGGCUCACUGUCACAGAGAACCUGAACCAGGUGACCCUACCCAAGGUGGCUGUGUUUGAACCUUCGGAAGCAGAGAUCUCCCGCACCGAGAAGGCCACGCUCGUGUGCCUGGCCACAGGCUUCUACCCCGACCACGUGGAGCUGAGCUGGUGGGUGAAUGGGAAGGAAGUCCAGACUGGGGUCAGCACGGACCCUCAGCCCUACAGGGAGCAGUCAGAUGAUGAAAACCCCAGCUACUGUCUGAGCAGCCGGCUGAGGGUCUCUGCUGCCUUCUGGCACAACCCCCGCAACCACUUCCGCUGCCAAGUCCAGUUCUUCGGCCUCGAGGAGAACGAUGAGUGGAAAGAGAACCGGACCAAACCUGUCAGGCAGAACAUCAGUGCUGAGGCCUGGGGCAGAGCAGACUGUGGCCUCAGCUCAGUGUCCUAUCAGCGAGGGGUCCUGUCUGCCACCAUCCUCUAUGAGAUUCUUCUGGGGAAGGCCACCCUGUAUGCUGUACUGGUCAGCGCCCUCGUGCUGAUGGCCAUGGUCAAGAGAAAGGAUCCCUGAAGCCAGCUCAAAGGUGGAGCUAGAAGCUUCCAGACCAUUAUCACCCCACCAUGGAGUUUCCUUUUUCUUUUCCUAGCCAGGGCUUCUGAAGAGCUGUUCUCAUCUCUCUACUCAUCCUGAUAUCUACUCCCUCAAGUGCUUGCACACCUCGACACUCAUGACCAAAAUCUCUCUGACCCAAGGGGGACCCUAGUGUGCCUGUGUUGACUGAACCAAUAAAAAUGGCCUGUUCUGGCUUGACUCUGCCUUAUGACUGUCUAGAUAUCUCUUCUUCCCAUGUCUGAACUGCCCAUGUGACUCUAGUCAGGAUAGAAACAAGAGGUAUUCAAGGAAGGUGUAGUCCCUUCAGGUGCGAGGGGCAAGGGACCCAGCCUGUGGCUGGCACUGCUCCUGCUUGUCAGGGGAACUCAAGUAAAUGUGAAAGUUGGUAAUGGGAUGUGAACAGGCUUACUCUGGAACAGCCUAGAAAUAUGGGGAUGUUGACCAUAAGAACUUUCUGUCCUACCUGGAUAAAGGUGCUCUGAGGAAGAGCUGACCUACAUAGGUGUGUCCAUCUGCCAACUGGCCAUAUGCCCCUGGCUAACAAAGCUUGGCUUUAUCUCUAUUGCCCACAUUCCUUUCAGCUGUCUCACUGAGUACACUCUAAUCUUCAUUUAUCGCCGUGGAGGCUUCCUAGCUGAGAAGAGAAUGUACUGACUUGGCUAUUGGUUCUCAGUAGCAGAUGUAUCCUCCAGUUUAAGUUAAAA
ensembl:lncRNA